GAUGAACGCUGGCGGCGUGCCUAAUACAUGCAAGUCGAGCGAACAGAUAAGGAGCUUGCUCCUUUGACGUUAGCGGCGGACGGGUGAGUAACACGUGGGUAACCUACCUAUAAGACUGGGAUAACUUCGGGAAACCGGAGCUAAUACCGGAUAACAUUUGGAACCGCAUGGUUCUAAAGUGAAAGAUGGUUUUGCUAUCACUUAUAGAUGGACCCGCGCCGUAUUAGCUAGUUGGUAAGGUAACGGCUUACCAAGGCGACGAUACGUAGCCGACCUGAGAGGGUGAUCGGCCACACUGGAACUGAGACACGGUCCAGACUCCUACGGGAGGCAGCAGUAGGGAAUCUUCCGCAAUGGGCGAAAGCCUGACGGAGCAACGCCGCGUGAGUGAUGAAGGGCUUCGGCUCGUAAAACUCUGUUAUUAGGGAAGAACAAAUGUGUAAGUAACUGUGCACGUCUUGACGGUACCUAAUCAGAAAGCCACGGCUAACUACGUG
rnacentral:rRNA from 1 species